AUUGAACGCUGGCGGCAUGCCUUACACAUGCAAGUCGAACGGCAGCACGGGUGCUUGCACCUGGUGGCGAGUGGCGAACGGGUGAGUAAUACAUCGGAACAUGUCCUGUAGUGGGGGAUAGCCCGGCGAAAGCCGGAUUAAUACCGCAUACGAUCUACGGAUGAAAGCGGGGGACCUUCGGGCCUCGCGCUAUAGGGUUGGCCGAUGGCUGAUUAGCUAGUUGGUGGGGUAAAGGCCUACCAAGGCGACGAUCAGUAGCUGGUCUGAGAGGACGACCAGCCACACUGGGACUGAGACACGGCCCAGACUCCUACGGGAGGCAGCAGUGGGGAAUUUUGGACAAUGGGCGAAGGCCUGAUCCAGCAAUGCCGCGUGUGUGAAGAAGGCCUUCGGGUUGUAAAGCACUUUUGUCCGGAAAGAAAUCCUUGGCCCUAAUACGGUCGGGGGAUGACGGUACCGGAAGAAUAAGCACCAGCUAACUACGUG
rnacentral:rRNA from 1 species